AUUGAACGCUGGCGGCAGGCCUAACACAUGCAAGUCGAGCGGAUGAAGGGAGCUUGCUCCUGGAUUCCGCGGCGGACGGGUGAGUAAUGCCUAGGAAUCUGCCUGGUAGUGGGGGAUAACGUCCGGAAACGGGCGCUAAUACCGCAUACGUCCUGAGGGAGAAAGUGGGGGGUCUUCGGACCUCACGCUCUCAGAUGAGCCUAGGUCGGAUUAGCUAGUUGGUGGGGUAAAGGCCUACUAAGGCGACGAUCCGUAACUGGUCUGAGAGGAUGAUCAGUCACACUGGAGCGGGGACACGGUCAAGACUCCUACGAGAGGGACCAGUGGGGAAUAUUAGACAGUGGGCGAGAACAUGAUCCAACCAUGCCGCGUGUGUGAAGGAGGUCUUCGGAUUGUAAAGCACUUUAAGUUGGGAGGAAGGGCAGUAAGUUAAGACCUUGCUGUUUUGACGUUACCAACAGAAUAAGCACCGGCUAACUACGUG
rnacentral:rRNA from 1 species